AAGGAUCUAAACUUAAAACCUGCCCAGCAGAGCGACCGAAUGAGUGAAAAUAUGCACGUGCGAUUCGAGGAGGGGCGUGCCCCCGAUCGUCCGUCCAUCGGACCACGGUCCCCCGCCACGACCGCACCGAAAGGGAGACCGCAGGGCGGGCCGGUGUUUCCGAACUAAAAUAAAAACGGCGCUACAAGCGCAAAGGAAAUCUUGGCGAAAACAGGGGGUCACACCGUUCACUGAAGCAGCCUUCGAAAUCUAAUACUCGAACGACUCUGGACAAUGGAUAUCUUGGCUCUUGCAUGGAUGAAGAACAUAGCGAAAUGCGAAACUUGGUGUGAAUUGCANAAUCCCACGAACCAUCGAGUCUUUGAACAGAAGUUGCGCCUGAGGCCACUAGUUCAAGGGCACGUCUGCCUGGGCGUCACACACAGCGUCGUACCUCGCCAACCACGUUGUCAGGGAGCGGGAAUUGCCCCCGGGCCCUUGAGGGAACGGUCGACACAAAUGUUGGUCCCCGACGGCGAGCGUCACGGUCAGCGGUAUUUGUACUACUCACCCUCGAAGACAUCAAGACGCGCUGCUCUGUUGCACGACGGGACAAACGAACCCAUGGAACCGCCUCACGCAGCAUCCAUCCUACGACCAUGGAUCAGGCGGGACUACCUACUGAGUUUAA
rnacentral:rRNA from 1 species